CAUAUCUUUAUUUUAUGUUUUUACCCUAUACUUCAUAAAAGAUAACAAAGGCGUGCAAAUGUUUCCUUUAAUCGAAUGAAGAUUGGCUCUCGAGUACAAAGGUAGAAGGGAGCUUAAUUGCGAGACUCACUUGUCAAGUAGGGACAAAAGUUAGCCUUAGUCAUUUUGAUGAUGUCAAAUGGAAGGGUCAUUGCUUAAUAAAUAAAAGUUUUUUAAGAAUAACAUACUAAUCUUUCUCCAAGAGUUCGCAUCAAUGAGAAGGUUUGACAUAUUGAUGUUAGCUCUUUGUCACGUGGGGUUGUAGUAUGUUCAAGGUUGGGAUGUUUGUCCUUUGCCACGUGGGAUUGUAGCAUGUUCCAAGGUUGGGAUGUUUGUCUAUUAAAGUGGUACGUGAGUUGGAUUUAAAACAUUCAUUGUUA
rnacentral:ncRNA from 1 species